UACGAAGGGGGCUAGCGUUGCUCGGAAUCACUGGGCGUAAAGCGCACGUAGGCGGCUUCUUAAGUCAGGGGUGAAAUCCUGGAGCUCAACUCCAGAACUGCCUUUGAUACUGAGGAGCUUGAGUCCGGGAGAGGUGAGUGGAACUGCGAGUGUAGAGGUGAAAUUCGUAGAUAUUCGCAAGAACACCAGUGGCGAAGGCGGCUCACUGGCCCGAUACUGACGCUGAGGCACGAAGGCGUGGGGAGCAAACAGG
rnacentral:rRNA from 1 species